rnacentral:lncRNA from 1 species
AUGGAGUAUCUGUACAUCACUGGGUUUGGGUGUCUUAUCACUGAUAAGAUCACGAUGCCGAGAUUUCCCCGAGCGCGCGUGGUGUGUUUAUUUAUCCUCUAUGCUGGCUUGGUUCAACGCUCAUCCAAAAGGUUAUGUUCCACAAACCUUCAAGUGUUUCCCAACAUGGCGAGUGUUUUACCAGACAAUUCCCCGGCAGGCAAAAGGGCUUCAGACACCCCUGACAGGCCUUCACUCGUCAUGCCGUCAGCAGGUGGUCCAAAUCCUCCUAGCAAGGAGGAAAGCUUAGACCUCAUGGGCCAAUACAAACCUGAAAUUUUCUGCUAAAAG